GCAGGCAUAGUUCAUCGGUAGAAUAGCGGCUUCCCAAGCCGCGGAGGCGGGUUCGAUUCCCGUUGCCUGCUCCA
rnacentral:tRNA from 2 species